rnacentral:rRNA from 1 species
UACAGAGGUGGCAAGCGUUGUUCGGAAUUACUGGGCGUAAAGGGCGCGUAGGCGGUCUUGUAAGUCUUGUGUGAAAUCCCUCGGCUCAACUGAGGAACUGCACGGGAUACUGCGAGACUUGAGUUCGGGAGAGGGAAGCGGAAUUCCGGGUGUAGCGGUGAAAUGCGUAGAUAUCCGGAGGAACACCGGUGGCGAAGGCGGCUUCCUGGAUCGAUCACUGACGCUGAGGCGCGAAAGCUAGGGGAGCGAACAGG